rnacentral:ncRNA from 1 species
GUCUAAGUACGAGCUCUCAUACAGUGAAACUGCGAAUGGCUCAUUAAAUCAGUUAUGGUUCAUUUGAUCGUACAGUUUACUUGGAUAACGGUGGUAAUUCUAGAGCUAAUACAUGCGAGAAGCGCAAAUUUUAACCCAUGAUGUGCUCGUUAAUAAGACCGUUUUUUUGUAUAUCUAAUUCGGGAUAUGUAACAAUCGUGUUAACCGUUGAGCUACACGACUAUAGGCCUACUUGAGAAUUUAAUAUAAUUGUUAACCGUUGAG